GGGGUGUCAAAAUGGUUC
rnacentral:siRNA from 1 species